AUUGAACGCUGGCGGCAGGCCUAACACAUGCAAGUCGAACGGUAGCACAGGAGAGCUUGCUCUUCGGGUGACGAGUGGCGGACGGGUGAGUAAUGCAUGGGGAGCUGCCCAAUCGAGGGGGAUACCAGCUGGAAACGGCUGCUAAUACCGCAUACGCCCUGAGGGGGAAAGGUGGGGACCUUCGGGCCUACCGCGAUUGGAUGCACCCAUGUGGGAUUAGCUAGUUGGUGAGGUAACGGCUCACCAAGGCGACGAUCUCUAGCUGGUCUGAGAGGAUGACCAGCCACACUGGAACUGAGACACGGUCCAGACUCCUACGGGAGGCAGCAGUGGGGAAUAUUGCACAAUGGGGGAAACCCUGAUGCAGCCAUGCCGCGUGUGUGAAGAAGGCCUUCGGUUGUAAAGCACUUUCAGUAGGGAGGAAGGGUUGGAUGUCUAAUACGCAUCAACAUUGACGUUACCUACAGAAGAAGCACCGGCU
rnacentral:rRNA from 1 species